rnacentral:rRNA from 1 species
UACGGGGGGGGGCAAGCGUUGUUCGGAAUUACUGGGCGUAAAGGGCUCGUAGGUGGCCAACUAAGUCGGACGUGAAAUCCCUCAGCUUAACUGGGGAACUGCGUCCGAUACUGGAUGGCUUGAGUUUGGGAGAGGGAUGCGGAAUUCCAGGUGUAGCGGUGAAAUGCGUAGAUAUCGGGAGGAACACCAGUGGCGAAGGCGACUACCUGGCCUGUUCUUGACGCUGAGGCGCGAAAGCUAGGGGAGCAAACGGG